AAACUGGUAAUCUAGUGGUUAGGAUUCAGCGCUCUCAAUGCUGCAGCCCAGGUUCGAUUACUGGUCAGUAAU